UGCAGGCAAAGAAGUGCCUUAAACUGGAAUGUUCCAGUGUCCCAGGUGGAAGCCAUUAGUUCCAGUUGAGCACGCUUUCCGAAACAUCAUGGAGGUGAAAUUGAAGAAGAGAGAAGGACCUCUUCAUACAGAAACUAGAUGUCUGGGGAUGUAGGCCGGUCUGCAACUGAAGAUUCAACUGUCUAGUAUUAAGAGCUUCCUUUGGCAUCUUCCAGUGGAAAUGCACAGUGUAUGUGACCAAGACAGACAAAUGGACAGAUCUUGUUCCUGUACUGAUGGCACUGCUCAAAGAGGAGUUUUAACAGAUGGAUCAAGCAGUGGGUGAAACGUGUUUUUUGUAUUA